rnacentral:piRNA from 1 species
UCAAUUCUCCUAUAGGUGACUCAAACCUC